UCAAUGGGAUGGGAUGGGAUGGGAUCCAUGGGAUGGGAUGGGAUGGGCAGGAGCGAGACCUGGCUGUGCCCAGCCCUUGUCCCCGCCACCUCCCAGGGGGCUCAGGAAGCUCCAUCUACCCCUGGAACUGAGAAUCAGUGGAGGUGUAAAGCUGCUGCUAAUUAAAAGCUUAAUUUUAAUGAUCCUGAAGAGUCGCGCUGACACCUCGCAGUGUUUGUGGCCUUACAUGAAGUGUACUAAUCUGUUUUAUAGAUUUGUGACUUGGGUUUGAAGCACUAAUUCGUUCCCCAGACUGCUCUUUUAGAACUCCCUUAAAACUGCUCGCAGGGAGGUUAAAACCCCUCUCUGUCAGCUGUAAGAAUUCCGUAGGAAGCAGCUGAGUGACUCUGAACAAGAUUUGAGAUCUCUUUUUUCCCCCCACCCCAAGUGUGAGUGUGAGAAGGUGUGGAGGACUCUGGAGCUGACUCAUCUGUGCUCUGUGGAUCCUGCAAAGUCCUGUUUAAAGCAGGUUUAAAGCAGUUUAAAGCGUUUUAAAGCAGUUUUAAGCAGUUUUAAAGCAGUUUUAAGCAGUUUUCUAUCUCAGGAUGGCUGUGCCCAGGAUUCCCUGGAUGCUGAGUGCAGCAGCAGCCUCCUGGGCUGGUAGGAGCCAGCAGAGCUCGUGCUGCAGAAGCCCAGCAGUGGUUGUAGCCCCCAGGGAAGUCUGAUCUCCGCAGGAAACUGGGAUGGGGUGUGAGGCUUUCUCUGUGCAUUGCCCUCUCUCCUUCCCUAGAGGCUCCAGCAGCAGAUCCUGAAAUCCACAACACUAUCUGUGCGUGUCUAGAGUGGGGUUUUGUUUGUUUUGACCCUGUAAAGAAUAUUCUGUACUGAGGGGAAUAAAAACUCUGCCGGUUUUUGGA